CUAGGGUGGGAGGAUUCGAACCUUCGAAUGUCGAGACCAAAACCCGAUGCCUUACCACUUGGCGACACCCUA
rnacentral:tRNA from 1 species